AUAUAUAUAUCAAACUUUCUCUUUGUUGAGCGGUUUGGAUGUGGGGGUUUGCUGGCCUCUUAAAAAGGUUCAGCUCCUCUGAAAUGCAUUAGCAGAACAAACCUGUUCAUUGGUGUGAUAACUAUCUACGCUAUUGAAUGUAAGGGGCAGUUCAGCUCUCUAAUGGUCCUCGGACAAUUCAUCAUUA
rnacentral:misc_RNA from 1 species